CACGUAGUUAGCCGUGGCUUUCUGAUUAGGUACCGUCAAGAUGUGCACAGUUACUUACACAUAUGUUCUUCCCUAAUAACAGAGUUUUACGAUCCGAAGACCUUCAUCACUCACGCGGCGUUGCUCCGUCAGGCUUUCGCCCAUUGCGGAAGAUUCCCUACUGCUGCCUCCCGUAGGAGUCUGGACCGUGUCUCAGUUCCAGUGUGGCCGAUCACCCUCUCAGGUCGGCUAUGCAUCGUUGCCUUGGUAAGCCGUUACCUUACCAACUAGCUAAUGCAGCGCGGAUCCAUCUAUAAGUGACAGCAAGACCGUCUUUCACUUUUGAACCAUGCGGUUCAAAAUAUUAUCCGGUAUUAGCUCCGGUUUCCCGAAGUUAUCCCAGUCUUAUAGGUAGGUUAUCCACGUGUUACUCACCCGUCCGCCGCUAACAUCAGAGAAGCAAGCUUCUCGUCCGUUCGCUCGACUUGCAUGUAUUAGGCACGCCGCCAGCGUUCAU
rnacentral:rRNA from 1 species